GACGAACGCUGGCGGCGUGCUUAACACAUGCGAGUCGAACGGAAAGGCCCCCUUGUGGGGUACUCGAGUGGCGAACGGGUGGGUAACACGUGAGUAACCUACCCUUGACUUUGGGAUAACUUCAGGAAACUGGGGCUAAUACCGGAUAGGAGCUCCUGCUGCAUGGUGGGGGUUGGAAAGUUUCGGCGGUUGGGGAUGGACUCGCGGCUUAUCAGCUUGUUGGUGGGGUAGUGGCUCACCAAGGCUUUGACGGGUAGCCGGCCUGAGAGGGUGACCGGCCACAUUGGGACUGAGAUACGGCCCAGACUCCUACGGGAGGCAGCAGUGGGGAAUAUUGCACAAUGGGCGGAAGCCUGAUGCAGCAACGCCGCGUGCGGGAUGACGGCCUUCGGGUUGUAAACCGCUUUCGCCUGUGACGAAGCGUGAGUGACGGUAAUGGGUAAAGAAGCACCGGCUAACUACGUG
rnacentral:rRNA from 1 species